rnacentral:lncRNA from 7 species
ACUCUUGUGUCAUGCUGCCCAAGUAACCUUCAGCUGCUGCACAGUACUGUUCAAUGGUGCUGAUUUCAUCCCAACACCUUCCUGGUCAUCUCUUCCUGCUCUCAGGUUGUAGGAAGGUUUCCUUUCAGCAUCUAAAUCUGGUUUAAAACUAUCUUUUUGCAUCAAAGAGUGAUGUACUCUUUGAAGAUAAUGGCACUGUGCUAGAAUGUCUGAGGUGUAAUGUAACACAACCAUGUUUCUUCUUUCCUUCUCCAUUAAUGUUUUAAAUGUAGUUUUAAUUUAACUAUAUGCCGAGAGUCUGUUGGAGGAAGGAAGAUAAAGUACUUUCUACAUUCACCUGUUCCUUUAAAUCUUGUAAAUUUAACACCUCUAAGCCUCAAAUAGCAAAAGUAGAAUCUCUGUGAAUCAGAGUUUGGCUGAUCAUCCAAGUUCUUUGAUUAAAAAAGGGUAAAAUUUCUUUGGUUUUUUUUUUCCUGAAGUGGUAUCUCCAGCCCAGUCUGCAUCAUAAUAUUCCAAUUAACAUGCAUAGUGUGUUUUCCUGCUUGUUGUAUUAGGUGUAAUAUUCCAGCCAUACGAACAUACCAGCUGCUUAGUGUGAAUUUUUUGCCAUAUUGUUUAGAUCAUGUACUGUAAUUUUUUUUGAAUGAGUCUCUUGUGGGAGAUUGUAAUUGCAGCAAUUUAAUAGCCUCUUAAACCUAUAGUUUAUAACAAAGUUAGGUGUAGAAUUAUGUGUCAUUUUACAUUUACUGGUAAUUGUUCUAAAGUCAGUCUAAUGUUCUUUGAAAAAAGGAGCACAAUUAAUACAUUUUCUCUAGCUCCAUGAAAUAUGUAAAUUAUAUUUAAAUUACAGGAGGUUUCAUUACUUCUGUAUUUAAAAAAAAAAAAAAGCAAAGGAGGUGUUGAGAUCCUGGUUACUGGAGAAUCCACUGUACAGAAUAUGACAUAUCUACUUCUGGUUUAUUCUCAUAUGAAAAAUGGGGGAACUAUUAUAAGGUGCUAUAAAUGGUAGAAAAGAUUGGAAUAUAAUACACGGAAUUAUCUGGAAGAAAGUAUGAUUGUAUCUCUGAGAACCACUGGCAAUCAUCUUCCAUUAAAUGCCAUUUCUGAAAC